GAGAGGACCGGGAUGGACACACCGCUGGUGUACCAGUUGUUCCGCCAGGAGCAACGCUGGGUAGCUAUGUGUGGCAGGGAUAAACGCUGAAAGCAUCUAAGCGUGAAGCCCACCUCAAGAUGAGAUGUCCCAUUUCGUCGGAAAGUAAGAUCCCUGAAAGAUGAUCAGGUAGAUAGGUUAGGAGUGGAAGUGUAGCGAUACAUGGAGCGGACAAAUACUAUGCGAUCGAGGACGUAACCAAAA
rnacentral:rRNA from 1 species